AGAAUCUCAGAGUUGGAAGAGACCUCAGGCCAUCUAGUCUAACCCCUGCCCUUCAAUCAUAAGAGAGUUGUCCCUCUGUUGUCCCACUGUCCCUCACACGUUUUCUUUGUGAACAGAAAGGAAUACAAC
rnacentral:lncRNA from 11 species